ACUCGCCAGGACCACCCACCCCGGGCUGCGCGCCGGGCGCCCCCCGACGGCUGCGUGAGCUGAAGCCCGGGCUGGCCCAGCCGGGGUCGGAGGCUGCAGUCGCUCCCGGGCGCUGUCCUCGUGCCCGGCCGAGACUAGGGACUUAAGCAGCCCGGGCUGGCCCAGCCGGGGUCAGAGGCUGCAGUCGCUCCCGGGCGCUGUCCUCGUGCCCGGCUGAGACUAGGGACUUAAGCAACCCGGGCCUCCGAGCCGCUCGGGUGAGCGGUGCGAACACGGCGCGGCGCGGCGCGGCACAGGCGGGGCAGCCUCCAGGGGCGCCUGGAGCGAGGCGGCCUGGGAGAGCCGCUGGUCCGGGAGGGAAGCGCCCUGGACGGAGGUACCCGCGGCCCCCGAUCCGCGUGGGUCCAGGCUCUCCCCUCCACGCAGCCUCCCCUGCAAACUCAGUCACUCCUGCCUCUCCCGUGUUGGGCAGUGGUGGUUCAGAUUGCUGGGACUUCUAUGAGCUUCGGUUUUUUUCCUCAGUAAGGUUUUACACUCGGGACUCAGCGAAAGGACAGCGUGCUGACUUCUGAGUCAGACUGAUCUGGAUUUGAACCUCAGCUCCAGCUCUUGCCAGCUAUGUGGUCUUCGACGAAUACUUCCACCCCUGUGUGGUGCAGUUUGCUCAUCUGCAAAAUGGGACUAAUCUAAUAUAUAUGAUGGGCUUGGAUAUGUCUCUUUAUGCAUUUAUACAUGGAAGAAUGCACCCCAAACUCAGUAGUAUUGGUGACAUCUGGGGAGGGAUGCAGGGUUGGGGGAGGACUGAAAAAGGCUUUUGCUUUUUACUCUGCGUUAUGUUUAUUAUUAUUAUAUUAUUAUUUAUUUAUUUUUUUUGAGACGGAGUCUCACUCUGUCGUCCAGGCUGGAGUGCAGUGGUGCUAUCUUGGCUCACUGCAAGCUCCGCCUCCCAGGUUCACGCCAUUCUCCUGCCCUAGCCUCCUGAGUAGCUGGGACUACAGGCGUCUGCCACCACGCCCGGCUAAUUUUUUGUAUUUUUAGUAGAGACGGGGUUUCAUCGUGUUAGCCAGAAUGGUCUCGAUCUCCUGACCUCGUGAUCCGUCCGCCUCGGCCUCCCAAAGUGCUGGGAUUACAGGCGUGAGCCACCGCACCCAGCUAUGUAAUGUUAUUUUUGUGAAUUUUUUUAACCACAAGAGCAAUCCAUCUAUUAGUUUUAUCUUUUUUUUUUCUUUUUUUUUUUGAGAUGGAGUUUCACUCUUGUUGCCCAGGCUGGAGUGCAGUGGCGCGAUCUCGGCUCACUGCAACCUCCGCCUCCCAGGUUCAAGUGAUUCUCCUGCCUCAGCCUCCCAAGUAGCUGGGAUUAGAGGCAUGCGCCACCAUGCCUGGCUUAUUUUAUAUUUUUUAGUAGAGACGGGAUUUCUCCAUGUUAGUCAGGCUAGCCUCCAACUCCCGACCUCAAGUGAUCCUCCUGCCUCGGCCUCCCAAAGUUCUGGGAUUAUAGGCGUGAGCCACCGCGCCUGGCUAUUAUUUAUUAUAAAUAAUAUAUGUAAGCUGGGCAUGGUGGUGAAAGCCUGUAGUCCUAGCUACUCAGGAGGCUGAGCGGGGAGGAUUGCUUGAGCCCAGGAGUUUGAGGCUGCAGUGAACUAUGAUCGUGCCACUGCACUCCAGCCCCUGCGACAGAGAGAGACCUCGUCUCAAAAAAUAAACACAUAAAUAAAUAAAAUAUGUAAAAUGGCUGGCAUAGAGUAGACAAUAAAUGGUCACUGCUAUUUUUAUAUUUUACUUUUUUUUUUUUGAGAAGGAGUCUUGUCCUGUCACCCAGGCUGGAGUGCAAUGGCGCCAUCUCAGCUCACUGCAACCUCUGCCUCCUGGGUUCAAGCCAUUCUCCUGCCUCAGCCUCCUGAGUAGGUGGGAUUGCAGGCACGAGCCACCACGCCUGGCUAAUUUUUUGUAUCUUUAGUAGAGAUGGGGUUUCACCAUGUUGGCCAGGCUGGUCUCGAACUCCUGACCUCAUGAUCCGUCCGCCUCAGCCUCCCAAAGUGCUGGGAUUACAGACAUGAGCCACUGCUCCCGGCCUAUAUUUUUACUUUCUAUUUACUGACGCGUUGUAUUUUGUUGGGUCUACUCAGUGUUUUAAAGGUUUUUGUUUGUUUGUUUUUUGUUUUUAAGACAGGCUAGUUUCAAACUCCUGGGCUCAAGAAAUCCUCCUUCCUUGGGCUCCUAAAAUGCCGGGAUUACAUGUGUGAGCCACUGGGCCCAACCUAAAGGCACAUUUUUUUUUUUUAAAUAACUUGUCAAUACGUAUUUUAAAACCUGGAUAUUUUAAAAUUUCUCUUGAAAAACUAAAACACAAAAAUAGAAGCUCUAACAACAUUGUCCUGCAUCCUCACAAAAUAUCAGAGGUCUUUGGUUCCCCACCUGUCAUUUUUUGGGCGCCUUUUGCACUUGGUGUUGAAGAAGCAGCAAGAAGUCUCUGGCCUCAAGGAGUUGGGUCUGAUCAGGCACAGACACGGCAGGUAAUGGGGUCAUGCGAAGGUUAAUACUGGGCUCAGCUGAAGGAGAUGUUAUCUCUAAGAAGAUGAUGGAUAUGAAAACGUAAAAUGCUUUCAAAAUGUAGGAAUUGGGCCGGGCGCGGUGGCUCAUGCCUGCAAUCCCAGCACCUUCGGAGGCCAAGGCGGGCGGAUCAUCUGAGGUCAGGAGUUCAAGACCAGCCUAGCCAACAUGGCGAAACCCCAUCUCUACUAAAAAUACAAAAAUUAGCCGGGUGUGGUGGUGGGCGUUUGUAAUCCCAGCUACUCAGGAGGCUGAGACAGGGAGAAUUGCUUGAACCUGGCAGGCGGAGGUUGCAUUGAGCUGAGAUCAUGCCACUGCACUCCAGCUUAGGUGACAGAGCGAGACUCUGCCUCAAAAAAAUAAAGAAAAGAAAAGAAAAUGUAAGAAUUGUGUCCCGAGCUGGGUACAAUUGCAGGCACCUGUAGUCCUGGCGAUUCGGGAGGCUGAAGUGGGAGGAUCACUUGAGGCCAAGAGUUCAAGUCCAGCCUGGGCAACAUGGCAAGACCCCAUAUCUAAAAAAAAAAAAAGAAGAAGAAAAAAGAAAGGAGAAAAAGAAUUGUAUCAUUAUUUGAAAUUUAACAUGCAUAUUUUUUCUCGGUAAAUCACUAAGUUCUUUCAGAAUAAAGGACUAUUUAUG
rnacentral:lncRNA from 1 species